rnacentral:rRNA from 1 species
UAAUCGGAAUUACUGGGCGUAAAGCGUGCGCAGGCGGUUGGGCAAGAGAGAUGGGAAAUCCCCGGGCUCAACCUGGGAACUGCAUUUGUGACUGCACAGCUUGAGUGCGGCAGAGGGGGAUGGAAUUCCGCGUGUAGCAGUGAAAUGCGUAGAUAUGCGGAGGAACACCGAUGGCGAAGGCAAUCCCCUGGGCCUGCACUGACGCUCAUGCACGAAAGCGUGGGGAGCAAACAGG